rnacentral:rRNA from 1 species
GAUCCUGGCUUAGGAUGAACGCUAGCUACAGGCUUAACACAUGCAAGUCGAGGGGCAGCAUUGGAGUAGCAAUACUCAGAUGGCGACCGGCGCACGGGUGAGUAACACGUAUCCAACCUGCCGCUUACUCGGGGAUAGCCUUUCGAAAGAAAGAUUAAUACCCGAUGGUAUAAAGAGUUCGCAUGUUCUCUUUAUUAAAGAAUUUCGGUAAGCGAUGGGGAUGCGUUCCAUUAGAUAGUUGGCGGGGUAACGGCCCACCAAGUCUACGAUGGAUAGGGGUUCUGAGAGGAAGGUCCCCCACAUUGGAACUGAGACACGGUCCAAACUCCUACGGGAGGCAGCAGUGAGGAAUAUUGGUCAAUGGACGAGAGUCUGAACCAGCCAAGUAGCGUGAAGGAUGACUGCCCUAUGGGUUGUAAACUUCUUUUAUAAGGGAAUAAAGUGAGGGACGUGUCCCUUUUUGUAUGUACCUUAUGAAUAAGGAUCGGCUAACUCCGUGCCAGCAGCUGC